rnacentral:rRNA from 1 species
AGAGGGUGCAAGCGUUAAUCGGAAUGACUGGGCGUAAAGAGCACGUAGGUUGUUGUAUAAGUUGGAUGUAAAAGCCCCGGGCUCAACCUGGGAAGGCCAUUCAAGACUGUACGACUAGAGAGCAGUAGAGGGAAGUGGAAUUCCCGGUGUAGCGGUGAAAUGCGUAGAUAUCGGAAGGAACACCAGAGGCGAAGGCGACUUUCUGGACUGCACCUGACACUGAGGUGCGAAAGCGUGGGGAGCGAACAGGAUUAGAUACCCUGGUAGUCCACGCCGUAAACGAUGAAAACCUAGCCCGUUGGGUAUGUAAAGUACUCAGUGGCGCAGCUAACGCAUUAAGUUUUCCGCCUGGGGAGUACGGCCGCAAGGUUAA